rnacentral:misc_RNA from 1 species
GAUGAAGAACGUAGCGAAAUGCGAUAAGUAGUGUGAAUUGCAGAAUUCAGUGAAUCAUCGAAUCUUUGAACGCACAUUGCGCCCCUUGGUAUUCCAUGGGGCAUGCCUGUUCGAGCGUCAUUUCAACCCUCAAGCCCCCGGGCUUGGUGUUGGGGAUCGGCGUGCCCUCGCGGCGCGCCGUCCCCUAAAUCUAGUGGCGGUCUCGCUGUAGCUUCCUCUGCGUAGUAGCAACACUCGCACUGGAUCGCAGCGCGGCCACGCCGUUAAACCCCCCACUUCUGAAAGUUUGACCUCGGAUCAGGUAGGAAUACCCGCUGAACUUAAGCAUAUCAAUAAGCGGAGGA